rnacentral:rRNA from 1 species
CCUACGGGAGGCAGCAGUGGGGGAUAUUGCACAAUGGGGGCAACCCUGAUGCAGCGACGCCGCGUGUGGGACGACGGUCCUCUGGAUUGUAAACCACUGUCCCCAGGGCCGAAGAUUACGGUACCUGGGGAGGAAGCUCCGGCUAACUACGUGCCAGCAGCCGCGGUACUUCGUAGGGAGCGAGCGUUGUCCGGAAUUACUGGGUGAAAAGGGAGCGUAGGCGGGGAUGCAAGGUGGGUGUCAAAACUACCGGCUCAACUGGUAGUCGCACUCAAAACUGCAGCUCUUGAGUGAAGUAGAGGCAGGCGGAAGUCCUAGUGUAGCGGUGAAAUGCGUAGAUAUUAGGAGGAACACCAGUGGCGAAGGCGGCCUGCUGGGCUUUUACUGACGCUGAGGCUCGAAAGUGUGGGGAGCAAACAGGAUUAGAUACCCCAGUAGUC